UACGUAGGGGGCGAGCGUUGUCCGGAAUCAUUGGGCGUAAAGCGCGUGUAGGCGGUUCAGUAAGUCUGCUGUGAAAGUCCAGGGCUCAACCCUGGGAUGCCGGUGGAUACUGCUGAACUAGAGUGCGGAAGAGGCGAGUGGAAUUCCCGGUGUAGCGGUGGAAUGCGCAGAUAUCAGGAAGAACACCAACGGCGAAGGCAGCUCGCUGGGACGGUACUGACGCUGAGACGCGAAAGCGUGGGGAGCGAACAGG
rnacentral:rRNA from 1 species